ensembl:lncRNA
AUGAGGUGGUUGUGUAAAAAAUGCAGCUUUGGGUCAAACAAAAGACUACAACUUUUAAAACACUUACGGCUCAAACACGGAAAUUCUGGCUGUCAGUCAUCGACCCCUUGUCUUUAUACUGAUUGCCCUUGUUCAUUUAAAACAUUUAAUGCUCUUAGAACACAUUUGUCCCGAGACCACACAGAAUCAGACAAACCAACAGAGGUGCUUUCAUUUAGUUGUCUUCUAUGCAAUUCAUCGUCAUUCUCUUCAGAGAAGCAAUAUUUUGAGCACCUUAGCAACCAUCUGAGGAGGUACGAGGUAUUGACUUGUGUAUUCAAAAACUGCAGCUUCAGCACAAGCAUUUAUUCAACCUUUGCUACCCAUAAACACAGGAAACACAAUAAACACUCCAUUGAAGAUUUUAAAACUGAAGUCUUGAAAAAAUACCCAAAUCACACUGUUUUGCAAAAUGAUUCAGAGGACUCUGGGGAUGACACAGAACUGGAUGAAACUUUGGUUGAAGCACAAGAUAAUUUGUCUGAAGAUAUAAAGAAGAAGUUUGGUCAACUUUUUCUGAAGUUGGAAAGUAAUUUCAACGUGUCAAACAGGUGCAUUGAUCAAAUCAUAGAUGAGCUUCAGUUCAUAUCCUCUUCUGCAUCUGCUCCAGUUUUGAAAGAUGUUGUUGAGUCUACUUUAAAGAGCCAUAACUGUGACAUAGAUCCAACAGUUAUCUCAGAUUUGGUGAAAAAUCUGUGUGAAUCAAACCCUGUCAGUUCAGCUUUAGGGAAAGAUGGACCUUUUUCAACAGCAUAUAAGAGGAGAGAAUUUAUGAAAGCACAUUUUUCAGUUGUUGAACCGGUAGAAUACAUACUGGACAAUAAAGACAACAGAACAUUCCAGUAUGUUCCAAUACUCCAGUCUUUGUUGCAAGUCUUGAAGAAUGUCGAAGAAAAGGAUCUAGUCACUCAAAAAAAUACUGGAUGUGGAUCACAAUACCAGUCAUUCCAUGAUGGAUCUAACUUUCAUGAAAAUGAAUUUUUCGCAGGAGAUGUCGAGAGAUUAAGUCUUAUUCUGUACAUCGAUGACUUCGAAGUGUGCAAUCCCUUGGGAACUUCUCGCAAGAUUCACAAAGUCACAGCUGUCUACUGGGUGUUAGGAAACUUUCCAGCACAUGCACGAUCAACAUCGGCAUCUAUUAAUUUAGCCAUUCUUUGUAAGGCAGAUGACACAAAGCGAUUUGGAUUUCAGAAAGUUCUAGAGCCACUGCUAUCCAAUCUUCAAAGCUUGGAAAAAGAUGGUAUUUUUAUUCCAAGUUUAGGAAAAGUCAUGAAAGGCACUGUGGUGAGCGUGGUGGCUGAUAAUUUGGGAGCCCAUUCUGUGGGAGGAUUCGUUGAAAACUUCUCUGGAUCUCAUGUCUGCCGAUUUUGUCUUGCAGACAGGUCACAGUUUCAGACCACAGAAGUAAGAUCUGGACUUUUUCAGAGGAGAGAUAAAGAGCAGCACACUCUGCAUGUUGAGACAGUUUUGUCAAGUCCUACUCCCACUCCUUGCUAUGGUGUGAAAAAACAGUGUGCAAUGUCAGAAAAACUUCAUCAUUUUCAUGUAAUAUCUGGUUACCCACCAGAUGUAUUACAUGACCUUCUUGAAGGUGUUGUUCCAGUGGAACUGGCAUUGUCAUUUCAAGCCUUGAUCAAGAAGAAAUAUUUUUCUCUUGAGGAGCUCAAUAAUUGCAUUCGACAGUUUCCUUAUAAGUGGAGUGACCAAACAAAUCGUCCACAUUUGAUUCCUGCUCAUUUUGCUACCAAAAGAUCUGUAGGAGGUAAUGCACAUGAAAAUUGGUGUCUGUUGCGUCUGUUGCCUCUCAUGAUAGGCUUGAAAGUACCUGAGGAUGAUGAAGUGUGGCAGAUGUUAAUGACCUUAAAAGACAUUGUGGAACUUGCGAUGGCUCCAGUUCAUACAGAGCAGAGCAUUUGCUACCUUGACUCUUUGAUUUCUGAGCACAGACACAGAUUUCGGGAAGUUUUUCCUCAAGAAAAGCUUCUUCCCAAACACCACUUUAUCGAGCACUACCCUGAACUCAUUCAGGAAUUUGGUCCUCUGGCAGCCUUAUGGACCAUGAGAUUUGAAGCUAAACAUGGCUUUUUCAAAAAAGCUGUCAGACAAACAGGCUGUUUCAGAAACAUACUGAUGUCCCUUGCAAAAAAACACCAGCUCAUGAUUGCAUUGCAUCUCCACGAACCAAAUGUGAUCAAGUCAUCACUUUCGGUAACAACAACUUCACAAGUCUCUGUGGACGUCCUAAAGGAUGACAUAAAAGAUUUGAUGCAAAAUAGGUAUCCAGGUGUCACAAUGGUACAUGUUGCAAAUAAUGUGUGCUUAUUAGGCACCAACUAUAAACCUGGAAUGUUGCUAUGUCAUGGUUUCACUGCUGACUUGCCAGACUUUUGUGAGGUGUUACAGUCUAUCUUGGUUUGCAGUGAACUGGUCUUUGUUGUUAGACUACUAAGCACAUGGUACAAUGAGCACCUUAGGAGCUAUGAGUUGGAACACACAGCCAACAUUCAGUUACUUGAGCAAAAAGAAAUGGUUGACUACUAUCCCCUGGCUCCUUACUCUGUUGCAGGAAGACGACUGACUACCUUAAAGCACUAUAUUUGCCCCUCAUUUUAG